UGAAUACGAGACGCUACGGCGUCGAAGCAGUCUAUGUCAGACUUCCAAGAAAAGCUCGCAAUGUCAUAAACAAAUAAUGCCUGUACCAUAACCGACACAGGUGGGUAGGUAGAGUAUACUAAGGGGCGCGAGAUAACUCUCUCUAAGGAACUCGGCAAAAUGACUCCGUAACUUCGGGAGAAGGAGUGCCUUAUUUAUAAGGUUGCAAUAACAAGAUCCAAGCAACUGUUUAUCAAAAACACAGGUCUCCGCUAAGUCGUAAGACGAUGUAUGGGGGCUGACGCCUGCCCAGUGCCAGAAGGUUAAAGAAGUUGGUUAGCAUUCGCGAAGCUGAUAACUGAAGCCCUGGUGAACGGCGGCCGUAACCAUAACGGUCCUAAGGUAGCGAAAUUCCUUGUCGGGUAAGUUCCGACCCGCACGAAAGGCGUAAUGAUUUGGAUACUGUCUCGGAGAGGGGCUCGGUGAAAUAGACUUGUCUGUGAAGAUGCGGACUACCUGCACCUGGACAGAAAGACCCUAUGAAGCUUUACUGUAACUUGAAAUUGAAAUUGGACUUUAUUUGCGCAGCAUAGGUGGGAGGCGUUGAGAGUAUUCUUGCGGGAAUAUUGGAGCCAUCAGUGAGAUACCACUCUUGUAAUGUUAGAUUUCUAACUUUGUAUCAUUAUCUGGUCAAAGAACAGUUUCAGGCGGGCAGUUUGACUGGGGCGGUCGCCUCCCAAACGGUAACGGAGGCGUACAAAGGUUUCCUCUGAACGGGUAGAAAUCGUAUCUAGAGUGUAAAGGCAUAAGGAAGCUUGACUGUGAGACCUACAAGUCGAGCAGGGACGAAAGUCGGUCUUAGUGAUCUGACGGUGCUGAGUGGAAAGGCCGUCACUCAACGGAUAAAAGUUACUCUAGGAUAACAGGCUGAUCUCCCCCAAGAGUUCACAUCGACGGGGAGGUUUGGCACCUCGAUGUCGGCUCAUCGCAUCCUGGGGCGGUAGUACGUCCCAAGGGUUGGGCUGUUCGCCCAUGAAAGCGGUACGCGAGCUGGGUUCAGAACGUCGUGAGACAGUUCGGUCCAUAUCCGGUGUAGGCGUUAGAAUAUUGAGAGGAGCCUUCUUUAGUACGAGAGGACCGAGAAGGACAUACCUCUGGUGUACCAGUUAUCGUGCCAACGGUAAACGCUGGGUAGCUAUGUAUGGAGAGGAUAACCGCUGAAAGCAUCUAAGUGGGAAGCCCACCUCAAGAUAAG
rnacentral:rRNA from 1 species